UACGAAGGGUGCAAGCGUUACUCGGAAUUACUGGGCGUAAAGCGUGCGUAGGUGGUUCGUUAAGUCUGAUGUGAAAGCCCUGGGCUCAACCUGGGAAUUGCAUUUGAGACUGCAUAGCUAGGGUGCGGAAGAGGGAAGCGGAAUUUCCGGUGUAGCGGUGAAAUGCGUAGAUAUCGGAAGGAACACCAGUGGCGAAAGCGGCUUCCUGGUCCAGCACCGACGUUCAGGCACGAAAGCGUGGGGAGCAAACAGG
rnacentral:rRNA from 1 species